CGACAAUUCACGUCGUUCCACUUGAACACUUGUGUUCUUAUCUCCCCCUAACGGCGGGAAUAUUGUCUCAUCAAAGUGACAAUCCGCAAUUUAGCGGUGAAUGAGAUCGCCUGACAAGGUUCCUACAUAUGCGGAUUAUAGGUGGAGGUUCAUAUCCAACCUAAACUUAUUCAUCUCAAAUGACCCAUCAUUGUAUGCAGUGGCAAUGCGAUUUGGCACCUAGAAAUAACAUCUAGCCGAGCUCAAGGAUUGGAGAUCCGUUUCAAUCCUGCCGAGCUCAAGGAUUGCAAUUUCGUGUCAAUCCUGGUACACAGUCACGAGCUGUAGUACAACAAAAUUCAAUGAUGGUGGGUCGUAGAUGAAUAGUAAAGCUGCAUGCAAAUAUUGCAUAGCCCCAAGACGCAAUAGAAAGAGUGAUGCGCAUCAAUAAUGUUCGAGCGACAAGCUAAAGUUGCUUGGUCGUAGCCUCGGUGAGACCGUAUUGCGUGUGAACAUGAGGUACAUGACACUUCAACUUACAUCCCGAUGAACUUCUUUAAAGAAUGGAUAGUGAGCCCGUAGAAGUAUAAGCAGUAUAAGCAGUAGAUAAUAGUGUAACACGUGACUAGUGUGUUAACAAGUCAACCAACACCAUAAAGCAUAAAAAGGUGUCCGCAAGUUGGUUGUAUCUAUCUACAUAGUUUGAUGUAAGAAUAGAAUGUUCACUUUUGUGUUAUUUAGCAUAGGAGGGUCUCACUCCUUAUUUAGCUAAAGAAUAGGCUUUCAAAACGAGCAAUGAGCAUUGCAGGGGGCCAAUGCGACAUCGAGGAAAGGUCGGUGCACCUCAAUUGCUUGAGGAAUUGACCGGACGACCUCCAGGAAGUUGGAGUCGUGUUCGGGUGACGUCAAUGUCCCCCGGGUCACCACCAUGCUUCAUGGUGAUGCUAGAUCUCGAAUGUCUUCGUUUUGAGCGGAAGAAUGGAUGUCCAUGAGAAUUUCUCAAAAUUUGGACCAUUAUAUCUCUUCCAGGUUGACCAAUUUGGUCAAACCAAAGCCUAUAUGAGUCGGUGUCCCAAAUAUCAUGUUUGGCGACAACAUGGGAUUCGAUAUUCGAAUCGUAGUGACAUACAGUUCACUAGAUUGACUCAUGAAUUUCUCCAAGAUGCGCUUCAGUUCGCAUUCAUGAGGAGGUAUACACAAAAGAAUUCUUGUUCAUUCUCACAAUGUGUUUCAAAUGAAACCAUUAGCAUGAAUGUCUUUAAA
rnacentral:lncRNA from 1 species